UCUCUCCCGAAGCUGCACACGGGUCAAAGAGGAUGAACUUCCCCAAAUAGAGGAGGACCAGUCUUUGGUCAAGGGAAUAUGAACAGCUGCCCUCCCCAGCUAGAACCUCCAGAUAAGCUCUUGAGGUGUGUUUCUUGUAUGUAGCAAAAGGACAGC
ensembl:misc_RNA 7SK 7SK RNA